GCCCCCGUAGCUCAGUGGAUAGAGCGCCAGCCUCCGGAGCUGGGUGCGUAGGUUCGAUUCCUACCGGGGGCG
rnacentral:tRNA from 1 species